CAUUAAUUUCAACUUAAGCUUCAACACAAGAUUCCUCUGAUAAAGUGAUUAAAAACAUUGAAUGAGGGCAGCAGGGUUUUCCUCUUAUUUAGCCUUGAGAUCAUGAGGGAGACCUGGCUUACGGCCUCGUAAUGCUUUAGAAUCAAGAUCUGCUUGACUGAAAGGAUCCUCAAGACUAAAUUUGGUUGACAAAUUCCUCUCUGUUGUUUUGUUAUUAUAAAGGCAGUAAGGGGGUCGCAGUGUCUUCUGGAGCCAGUAUCAUGUGGUCUCUGAGAGAACAGCAUUUAUUUAUAUAUUUAUGUGCACUUUGAAUUGGUUUCAUUCUCCUCACCAGAGGUUGCCUGACGCCAUGAAGCGUAGAUUAAGCCACAGUAAUUUUUAUUAUGCGUAAACGUCAGCAGACCAGUUGAUUUAUUCAUCGCUGUUUCCUGACACAUUUUAUUUAACAACCUAUUAAACCACCUCAGCUCAAUGUCAAUAAAAUAGUAAAGGAGCGUUUCCAUACUGCAUGCUCAACUCGAGGUCAGCCAAUUUGUUAAGUGUUGUGAAGCCCAGAUUUCAGCUGAAGGGGUGAUACAAAUAGGAAUUGAUUGGCUCAUUAAUAAAAGUCAGAUGAUGGCGACACAGCACAUAAGGCUUAUUUACUCUCCCUAGCACCUUGGGAAUUGCAGACGUCUUUACCACCUUAAGCACAGACAGCAGGACAAACAACCAGCAGAGAGAAGCAUUAGAAAUUGAAUCUGUGCAGCUGUGAAUAUGUGCAUGCAAUUAUUAUAAAGCCAGGGUAGCAAAUGCAACCUCAAGACCCAUACCUUUACAUGCAAUCAGAUUUUAUUGCAAUUAAAAUAACAUAAUUAAC